rnacentral:misc_RNA from 1 species
GAAACAGCACAUAAACCCUCUUGCCGUUUUUUCAACGGACACCGGCCGCACUCGCCAUUUCUCUCUGCCCCACCAUCCCCUCAAAUGGACGAUAAACUCGCCGUUGCAAUCGCUGCCGCGCCGGAAAAGGUUCUUGUUGAAAUAGUGAAGUUGGCUCAAAAGCAAGGAAGACAGGGCACUAAAGGUAGCUGGAAGGAGUUCCUAAACAUUUAUGAUAGGAAGUUCGGGUCUAGCUUAAGUGACCCCGUGAAGAGGUCACGCGAGACUCUGGUUGCUUUUCUACAGACAUUUACUGAGCAGGACGAUUUGAAGUUUUUGGAUUAUGUUCUUCAGUUGCAUUCGAAUCGUGAAGUCUUAGAGCAAAUUAGAAAAGAAUUUCCAGAUAAUGAAUCUCCUGAACAGAGGCUAGUCCGUUUAACUGUUCAACACCCAUUUUACCUGUCAAAGUAUGCAUUCCCAUCAUAUGAUAAGGACUGGGUAGUAACAAAGUUUCCUAAAAAAUCCAAAUUGAUGAGUUCACAUGCAAUUGUUGCUGUUGAUUGUGAGAUGGUUCUUUGUGAAGAUGGUACUGACGCAUUGGUGAGGGUGUGUGUUGUGGAUCACAACUUACAGGUAAAACUUGACGAAAAAGUAAAUCCUUGCAAACCAGUUGCAGAUUAUAGAACCGAGAUUACUGGAGUUGCUGCUGGAGAUUUGGAUGAAUUAUCUUGUUCAUUAGCUGACAUACAAAAAUCUAUGAAGAAGCUAUUACGGAAAGGAACUAUUUUAGUGGGCCAUGGUUUAUAUAAUGACCUGCAGGCACUGAAGUUGGACCAUGGAAGAGUGGUUGACACCUCCUUUAUCUUCAAACGUUUGGAUGGACGCCCGCCCUCUUUAGACACCUUGUGUAAGGCUGUGCUGGGAUAUGAACUUCGCAAAGAAGGUGCUCCUCACAAUUGUGUUGAUGAUGCCUGUGCUGCAAUGAAACUUGUUCUUGCCAAGAUUGAACAUGGAGUUGAUAAUGACAUUCCAUUGAAUCAAGAGGAUGUGUUAGAAACUGAAAUGACAAAGCUACUUCUCCACGGUAUACCAAUUGAUGUCCCCAGUAAAGAAUUAAACGGAGUCUUUCCUGAGAAAUUUACAGUUGAACCCAAGGUUGAGUACAUCCAAUUGUUUUCCUAAUCUUUCCUUUGAAGACUAUUUUGUGUGUGACUGCUUGAAAUUAUUUCCCUUGCUAGAGGAUACUGGGACUCAUAAUGUUAUGUCUUCCGAUGAAAUUGUUCUGCAAUUGAACUUGACCUCCAGGAUAGCUGGAACUAUUUGGUUGUAAUUUUUCUUUGCCUUGCAAAAAGCUUUCUACAGGAAUUUUUAAGACUGAGUGUCAUGGCUAGGAGAGCUGUUGAUGUUGUGUCUGUUGUUCCUGCAUUUGAAGCCAUCUGAUUUUCCUGAAUUUAGUAGCAAUUAAUCAUGAUUUUCUAGCAAAAGCGAGAAAUAGUUGUCAAUAAUUUGAAAAUGGAGAAAAAGUCAGCCUGGCUCUGAAUAAUUUUUAUAUAUCAGCAUUUUACAUGAUGAAGAGAUAUUUGCUCACCGACUGGAUAUGUUAUGCAAUUUGAAGUAAUCAAGGAUUUAGCAAAUACAUAGUUGUUAUUUUGUUGAUGAGAGCCAUGUGCUAAUUUGUGUUAAAACAAACAACCAAAUGUGUUAUCUUGAGUUGUGUCCUUAUUGUAAUUUUGUGUAAAAGAUAGUCGAAGGUAUUAAUUAAUGCCACCCGGAAUAAAUAAAUUCUGAAUCCGCAGAUUAUUCCUAUCUAUACAGUUUGGAAUGGAUUGCCCCAGGAUCCUUUACAGAUGCACCUGUUUGUUUGUGUGUUAGUAGAAAGCUAUUGCAUUUGGUUAACUUCCAAAUUAUCUGAUUCCAACUGUAUAACCUGCCUUGCUCCUGCAGUCAUGCUUUGAAUUUAUUCUUUCGUAUGUGCACAACCACUGAGUUUCUAACAUUGUGAAUGUUAUUUUUGGCAGCCGCCUAAGAAAGCUCAUGGAGUGCAGUAUUCUGCACUUGCCAUUUUUAAGAAUUCUCAAGAGGCACAUCAGGCAUUUGAAAACUUGAAUGGGAGGUUAGAAAAGGACAAAAAUGGACUGGAGCAGAAAAUGAUAACAUUUAAACUUAACACAGGAACAACAGCUAGUAUAUAUGUUCGUAAAAUGGCGCAUGAUUAUUCUCUUCAUAAAGGUUCACUUAAAAGGAGAGCUUUUCAAGGUGAGGAUUUAGUUGAUCCCAAGAAAGUAAAGACUGGUGAUUGUGACAAUCACAUGAAAGAGAUUGAAAGAUUAAAGCAAGAACUGAGAGAAAAGGAUUUAAAUCAGUGCGAUAACCACUUGAAAGAGAUUGAAAGACUGAAGCAAGAUCUAAGUGCGAAAGACUUUCAAAUCUCUGCACAGGAUAAG